rnacentral:rRNA from 1 species
AGUGAACGCUGGCGGCAGGCCUAACACAUGCAAGUCGAGCGGCAGCGGGUCCUUCGGGCUGCCGGCGAGCGGCGGACGGGUGAGGAAUGCAUCGGAAUCUGCCCUGUCGUGGGGGAUAACCUAGGGAAACUUAGGCUAAUACCGCAUACGACCCACGGGUGAAAGCGGGGGAUCGCAAGACCUCGCGCGAUAGGAUGAGCCGAUGUCCGAUUAGCUAGUUGGCGGGGUAAAGGCCCACCAAGGCGACGAUCGGUAGCUGGUCUGAGAGGAUGAUCAGCCACACUGGGACUGAGACACGGCCCAGACUCCUACGGGAGGCAGCAGUGGGGAAUAUUGGACAAAGGGCGCAAGCCUGAUCCAGCCAUGCCGCGUGGGUGAAGAAGGCCUUCGGGUUGUAAAGCCCUUUUGUCCGGGAAGAAAUCGUCUGGGCUAAUACCCCGGGCGGAUGACGGUACCGGAAGAAUAAGCACCGGCUAACUUCGUG